CCUACGGGAGGCAGCAGUGGGGGAUAUUGCACAAUGGGGGAAACCCUGAUGCAGCAACGCCGCGUGAGUGAAGAAGUAUUUCGGUAUGGAAAGCUCUAUCAGCAGGGAAGAGAAUGACGGUACCUGACUAAGAAGCCCCGGCUAACUACGGGCCAGCAGCCGCGGUAAUACGUAGGGGGCGAGCGUUAUCCGGAUGUACUGGGUGUAAAGGGAGCGUAGACGGCUUGUAAAGUCUGAAGUGAAAGCCCGGGGCUUAACCCCGGAACGGCUUUGGAAACUGGGCAGCUAGAGUGCGGGAGAGGUAAGCGGAAUUCGUAGUGUAGCGGUGAAAUGCGUAGAUAUUAGGAGGAACACCGGUGGCGAAGGCAGCUUACUGGACAGUAACUGACGUUGAGGCUCGAAAGCGUGGGGAGCAAACAGGAUUAGAUACCCCGGUAGUC
rnacentral:rRNA from 1 species